rnacentral:rRNA from 1 species
GAUGAACGCUGGCGGCGUGCCUAUACAUGCAAGUCGAGCGCACGGACGAGAAGCUUGCUUCUCUGAUGUUAGCGGCGGACGGGUGAGUAACACGUGGAUAACCUACCUAUAAGACUGGGAUAACUUCGGGAAACCGUAGCUAAUACCGGAUAAUAUUUUGAACCGCAUGGUUCAAAAGUGAAAGACGGUCUUGCUGUCACUUAUAGAUGGAUCCGCGCUGCAUUAGCUAGUUGGUAAGGUAACGGCUUACCAAGGCAACGAUGCAUAGCCGACCUGAGAGGGUGAUCGGCCACACUGGAACUGAGACACGGUCCAGACUCCUACGGGAGGCAGCAGUAGGGAAUCUUCCGCAAUGGGCGAAAGCCUGACGGAGCAACGCCGCGUGAGUGAUGAAGGUCUUCGGAUCGUAAAACUCUGUUAUUAGGGAAGAACAUAUGUGUAAGUAACUGUGCACAUCUUGACGGUACCUAAUCAGAAAGCCACGGCUAACUACGUG